GUCCAUGUCCAAGCCACAGAUCUCACUCAGACUCCAGGGGACCAAGAGGACCCAACUGCUAUAUGUCAGUUUACACGCUCAUGGGCUGAGCAAACUUCACUAAAGAGAGCUUAUAGUUUUGUGACAGAGUCUGUCACUGAUUUUAUCUUCCCUCACACACGCUCUCGGCCCCCGCUCAUCCCUGCCAUGCCCACCCUUCCUGAGGAAGAGGAAGACUCUCCAGAGGAGCUCAACAGUACAUCCAGCUCGCCCUCCACAUACGCUCCAGUUGAAAGCAUGAUGGUAAGUGUAACCAUGACUCCACCAGCUAUUGUGCUUCCAAGACAAGUCAGCAAGCAAGAGCCCUGUCCUCUGGAGAAAGCAAGGUAUUGAUGUCAAGACCCA
rnacentral:lncRNA from 1 species